CCGGGGGGAGGAGUCAAACUGACGUGUGAGGCAGGGGAGCCAGGCAGGGCACUGGAGUAGCUCCUUCCCCUUCGCUUCGUCAGCAUCGAGAGUGACCUCGUUGGGAACGGGGGCCUUAGCGGUCUCGUCAUUUACGAAGCGGAUGGGCUCCUGGGCUCUGGGGCCUCGAACUGUUUCGGAGACUGAUGGGCAAGAGCCCCUGCAGCCCAGGGGCCGGCGGUCAGGGGCCUUGGCCGGGGCUGGAGUUUGGCCGUCGGAGGUCGGCUGGUCAAAGCUUGCCGCUAGUCCCCGGCUAUCCGCAGUUUCCAAAGAGGGGAUGAUUCCUUUACCUGGGUCCCAGAUUAAUGGAACAAAGCUGAAGAUGACUGUGAUUGACAAACAACAUGAAGAGAAAUAAACCUUACUAUCGUUCUGGAGCAAAACUAAACUUUAUGUAGAAAGAGGGAUUUGAGAAGGAGGAAGCACAGAGGCCACCAACUAUGAACAGAAGAGAUAAGCCACGAGUACUGCCUCAAGGCAUUCCUUUUUCCCAAGCUCUCAGAAGAGAAGACCCUGCCAGUGACCAAGGAGCUGUUUUAGCCACAGGAUGGCAGAAACUCCAUCAUCAUGGUCCUUGAAUAAGAUGGCCUCCCCAUCUGUAAUGGUCCUGGGAUUUGGAGAGCAUCUCUUAUGAUCCACAUCUUACAAAUGAGAGAACUGAAGGUCAAAAAGUUUUAGUGACUUGUUUGAAACUCUCGUCACCCGAAGAUAAAACCAGUUAUAAAACAGAGGCUUUCUGGGGACUUCCCUGGUGGCACAGUGGUUAAGAAUCCGCCUGCCAAUGCAGGGGACACAGGUUUGAGCCCUGGUCUGUGAAGAUCCCACAUGCUGCGGAGCAACUAAGCCUGUGCGCCACAACUACUGAGCCUGCACUCUAGAGCCUGCGAGCCACAAGUACUGAGCCCGAAUGCCACAACUACUGAAGCCUGCACACCUCAAUGAAGAGUAGACCCCGCUCGCCACAACUAGAUAAAGCCUGUGUGCAGCAACAAAGACCCAACGCAGCCAAAAAUUGAUUAAUUAAUUAAUUAAUUUUAAUAAAACAGAGGCUUUCUAACCCCCAGUCCUUAACCUAUAUAGCACAUGUCUUUGAAUUACCAAAGUGUACUUCUCUGGUUAAAGGAAAUGCAGCUAUAGAUGUAG